CCUACGGUGGGCAGCAGUAGGGAAUCUUCGUCAAUGGGCGCAAGCCUGAACGAGCAAUGCCGCGUGAACGAGGAAGUUCUUCGGAUCCUAAAGUUCUGUUUAAGUGGAAAAAGAGCGGAGAGAGGAAAUGGUCUCCGAUUGAUAUUACCCUUCGAGGAAGUCACGGCUAACUACGUGCCAGCAGCCGCGGUAAUACGUAGGUGGCGAGCGUUAUCCGGAAUGAUUGGGCGUAAAGGGUGCGUAGGCGGCCUGCUAAUUCUGGAGUGAAAGGUACCGGUUCAACCGGUACAGGCUCUGGAAACUGGCGGGCUAGAGAGCAGGAGAGGGCGGUGGAACUCCAUGUGUAGCGGUAAAAUGCGUAGAUAUAUGGAAGAACACCAGUGGCGAAGGCGGCCGCCUGGCCUGUUACUGACGCUGAGGCACGAAAGCGUGGGGAGCAAAUAGGAUUAGAUACCCUUGUAGUC
rnacentral:rRNA from 1 species